rnacentral:rRNA from 1 species
AUGGGACGACUGCAACAGAGGGAACCACGGGCACGACUACUCGUCGGCGCCAGCGCCGGUGUACCAGCACCCGCCCGUCGUCGGAGGCUGGGCCUCACAUUCUCCAAUGAGCUCAUCUCCCGCGAUGAGGGUCUACACCGCGACUUCGCCCGCCUCCUCUACAACAUCCUCUGCGGCAAGCUCGACAAGUCCCACAUCCUUGAGAUCGUCUCCGAGGCCGUGGAUAUCAAGAGGGAGUUCAUCUGUGACGUGCUCCCCUGCGCGCUCGUGGGUAUGAACUUCGACCUCACGAGACAGUACAUCGAGUUCGUCGUCGACCGCCUGCUCAUGGCGUUGGGCUGCAAGAAGCUGUAUGAUGCCACCAACCCAUUCGACUGGAUGGAGCUCAUCUCCCUGUAG